UGACGGCGAGCGACGCAUCUCCUUCCCACGCUCGCAGUAGCCGCCCAGCGCACAGACUCAUCGGGCAUGCUUGUGCGCACUUAACCUCGAUUUGUGGUGGUAGCGCCGGCAACCUGCUGCUCCACACAGAAAAAAAUGCGCGAAAAGCUUCCAAUGGCGACGCCAUGGCGGCUGCGCGUGCGAGCGGUCACAAUCAAGUGGUGCAAAACCGUGGAUCCAUAUGAUGGCGCAUGGUGGUAUGUGCUGAAGAGCGAGAAGAAAACUUGAAAUUGAAUUGUUUCUGGUGGAUGUGUCGUACAGUGGUAGUAAUUUGGCAUCUCGGGACUAGGAAGUCCAAAUGAUAUGGAUUCGCCAAGUUCACUUUCUCUUUAGAAAAUGAUACAGCUGCAGGUGUAAAACUCUGGAAAAGAUGGGCGAUGAGCUUUUGUAUGGAAAAGGGACAUAUGGUUCACUAUGCAAACAACAAAUGAUUUACUGCUGCCGUCAAGAUAAGGUCCUUAUUCGUUAUCAUUUUUUGUAUGAGUCUGUGAUGUUAUAUUUAUUUGUUCAGAUAUUCAAUCCAGUAUUCAAUGUCAUUUGCCUACUUCACAUUAGACCUCAUAGUCCUCCCGAUCCCUUUUAAUUGACUCGGAUUUAGUAUUAAAAGGGAUAAGAUGGAGUAUUUCUCUCUCAUGAUCAUAUAUAUGUAUGUUCUUUUUCUUAUAAACCUUUUGUUUUAUGGAUCUUCAAAGGAUUUGUAAAUUCCCUACAAGCUAGCUUGCACUAGGAUAUUUUACAGAUGUUGGAAGUGCCCUUUCUGUAAGAGUUAUUCUGAAUAUUUUUUAGU